UGUAAUCUUGGAUAAGCUCUGCAUGCGC
rnacentral:piRNA from 1 species